rnacentral:misc_RNA from 1 species
GUAGGUGAACCUGCGGAAGGAUCAUUAACACGUGAUACUCACGUAUUAACCAAACGCGAAAUGUUGUUUAAGCCUAUUAUUGGAUAUGAGCUGACUGUUUGGGAAUGGUGUGAUUACGGUGCUUCGCGCAUAGGGUCUAACUUACAGUCUUAGCGUGCUUGACACGCGGUUUGUUCCAGUAGUAGUAGAUUAACUUCGGCUGCUUAUUAAGCCUGCACCUUGGCUUGCAGUUGGGUGCUGAUUACUUACC